CCUACGGGAGGCAGCAGUGGGGAAUAUUGCGCAAUGGGGGCAACCCUGACGCAGCCAUGCCGCGUGUGUGAAGAAGGCCCUAGGGUUGUAAAGCACUUUCAAUUGGGAAGAAAAGCUUGUCGUUAAUAGCGUCAAGCCCUGACAUUACCUUUAGAAGAAGGACCGGCUAACUCCGUGCCAGCAGCCGCGGUAAU
rnacentral:rRNA from 1 species